rnacentral:rRNA from 1 species
AUUGAACGCUGGCGGCAUGCCUUACACAUGCAAGUCGAACGGCAGCAUGGAGAGCUUGCUCUCUGAUGGCGAGUGGCGAACGGGUGAGUAAUGCAUCGGAACGUACCGUGUAAUGGGGGAUAACGUAGCGAAAGUUACGCUAAUACCGCAUACGACCUGAGGGUGAAAGCAGGGGAUCGCAAGACCUUGCGUUAUACGAGCGGCCGAUGUCAGAUUAGCUAGUCGGGGAGGUAAAGGCUCACCAAGGCGAGGGUCUGUAGCGGGUCUGAGAGGAUGGUCGGACACACGGGGACUGGGAACCGGCCCAGACUCCUACGGGAGGCAGAAGUGGGGAAUUUGGGACAAUGGGGGCAACCCUGAUCCAGCCAUGCCGCGUGAGUGAAGAAGGCCUUCGGGUUGUAAAGCUCUUUCGGCCGGGAAGAAAUCGCACAGGCUAAUACUCUGUGUGGAUGACGGUACCGGCAUAAGAAGCACCGGCUAACUACGUGCCAGCCGCCGCAGUAA